rnacentral:pre_miRNA from 2 species
UUUGAGGGGAAUGUUGUCUGGCUCGAGGCCACCAACUAGAUCUAUAAUUCUAUCUCAAUUGAUCAAAAUUUUCUGUGGAUUUUAUUUUUUCGACUAAAGUUGAGAUCAUGAUCAUUGAUCAUAAGUUAGUGACGUCGGACCAGGCUUCAUUCCCCCCAAU